AGAGUUUGAUCCUGGCUCAGGAUGAACGCCGGCGGUGUGCCUAAUACAUGCAAGUCGUACGCACUGGCCCAACUGAUUGAUGGUGCUUGCACCUGAUUGACAUUGGAUCACCAGUGAGUGGCGGACGGGUGAGUAACACGUAGGUAACCUGCCCCGGAGCGGGGGAUAACAUUUGGAAACAGAUGCUAAUACCGCAUAACAACAAAAGCCACAUGGCUUUUGUUUGAAAGAUGGCUUUGGCUAUCACUCUGGGAUGGACCUGCGGUGCAUUAGCUAGUUGGUAAGGUAACGGCUUACCAAGGCGAUGAUGCAUAGCCGAGUUGAGAGACUGAUCGGCCACAAUGGAACUGAGACACGGUCCAUACUCCUACGGGAGGCAGCAGUAGGGAAUCUUCCACAAUGGGCACAAGCCUGAUGGAGCAACACCGCGUGAGUGAAGAAGGGUUUCGGCUCGUAAAGCUCUGUUGUUGGAGAAGAACGUGCGUGAGAGUAACUGUUCACGCAGUGACGGUAUCCAACCAGAAAGUCACGGCUAACUACGUGCCAGCAGCCGCGGUAAUACGUAGGUGGCAAGCGUUAUCCGGAUUUAUUGGGCGUAAAGCGAGCGCAGGCGGUUGCUUAGGUCUGAUGUGAAAGCCUUCGGCUUAACCGAAGAAGUGCAUC
rnacentral:rRNA from 1 species